rnacentral:rRNA from 1 species
UACGUAGGAGGCGAGCGUUGUCCGGAAUCACUGGGCGUAAAGCGCGCGUAGGCGGUUACUUAAGUCGGAUGUGAAAGCCCUCGGCUUAACUGAGGAAGUGCACCCGAAACUGAGUAGCUAGAGUACGAAAGAGGGUCGCGGAAUUCCCGGUGUAGAGGUGAAAUUCGUAGAUAUCGGGAGGAACACCGGUGGCGAAGGCGGCGACCUGGGUCGAGACUGACGCUGAGGCGCGAAAGCGUGGGGAGCAAACAGG